ACGUAGUUUACUUCAUAAAUAUUUAAGCGAUGGCGAGAUAAUUAGUUUUUGUUCAAAUUGUAUUUUAACAAUGGUCUGGAGAAUGUGGGUGGCGGUGAUCACUUAACAUCAGGUGACAGCUCCUUUGUCCUGUUCUUCCAUAAAAAGAAUACUGUAAAUACAUUACAGUGCCACGGCAGAAGAAAAAUACAAGUCUACUACACACUAGUAAUUUGGCUAAAUAUUAUAAACAAAUAGACCUAAGGAUUCUCAAUACAAUGAUACGUCUUCCAAAAAGGCUAGCCGGAAGACGUCCACUGCUGGACAAAGGCCUCCCCCAAAAAUCUCCACGACGAUCGGUCCUGCGCUGACCUCAUCCAAAGCGGAAUACUUAGGCAAUCUUGACCAGAUCGUCGGUCCAUCUUGUCUACCAAAACUGCGUCUUCCGGUACGUGGUCGCCAUGUCGCCAUUCGAGGACUUUACUGCCCCAACGGCCAUCUGUCCGUCGAACUCUGUGCCCCGCCCACUGCCACUUCAGUUUAGCAAUCAUUUGGGCUAUGUCGGUACCUUUAGUUCUCCCACGGAUAUCCUCAUUUCUUGCAGGGAUACUAAAAGCAUAGCCCUCUCCAUUGCCCUCUGAGCGACCUUGAACUUUCUGAUCAGGCCCAUAGUUAGCUCCAUACUGGAUAAUUAUUUUGGAAUAAAUAAUACGUCAUCCUAUAGGGAAUUUAGCUUUCUACACACUAAAACAGAAUUAUUUGAUAAAACAAAACCAAAUAACACAAAUAAAAUUUGAAAAACAACAAAA